GACAGAGGUUGCAAACGUUGUUCGGAAUCACUGGGCGUAAAGCGCACGUAGGCGGUCUGUUAAGUCAGGUGUGAAAGCCCCCGGCUCAACCGGGGAAUUGCAUUUGAUACUGGCAGGCUCGAGAACGGUAGGGGUGAGUGGAACUCCAGGUGGAGCGGUGAAAUGCGUAGAUAUCUGGAGGAACACCGGUGGCGAAAGCGGCUCACUGGACCGUCACUGACGCUGAGGUGCGAAAGCUAGGGUAGCAAACGGG
rnacentral:rRNA from 1 species